GAUAUCGAAGAUUAUCUCUAGCUUUGAGAUGAGAUUGAGAGGCUCAUCAGGUAGAAGAGGUUGAACGACUUCAUCUGGGGGAGAGCAUCUUCAUGAUGACCUCCUUUGAGAGCUCAGCAACCACCUCCUUUGCCUCAGCAAUCAUUUUCUUUGCCUCAGCAACCGUUUUCUUUACCUCAGCCAUAGCCAGCACCAGCACAGUUGGAGAGACAAGAAGUAAGAGGAUAGGUGGUAGCAGAAGAUCGAUCCAUACGAGAAAAAAUCCAUAUGAUAACUGGAGAAUCAUCUAGGUCAGCAAAGCUUCCAG
rnacentral:lncRNA from 1 species